UAGGGAAUCUUCCACAAUGGACGAAAGUCUGAUGGAGCAACGCCGCGUGUGUGAUGAGGGGUUUCGGCUCGUAAAACACUGUUGUAAGAGAAGAAUGACAUUGAGAGUAACUGUUCAAUGUGUGACGGUAUCUUACCAGAAAGGAACGGCUAAAUACGUGCCAG
rnacentral:rRNA from 1 species